UUGUGUGUCAUCAUUCUCAUCUUCUAAAUCAUCUCGUUCUAUACUCUCCUUCCUCAUCAGCAUCCUGCGUUGGGUAAAGAAUUUCGUCGUCCUCUUCGUCUGGGUUUGUUCCUGGCUCUCCUGGAUACUUUUUCCGCUGCAACUGGGUUUUGAGGGAGGAAACAAGGUUUUUGGGUCCGUCCCCGCCACCGAUAGUUUAACUUUACACGGGCGCUCUUCGCCGGCCGUCAGCUCGACAACCGCCCACACACGCCGCGCGGAGGCGGCGCCCGAUAGUGUGCAACACCCACCCCUUCGCCAAGGGGCGUGUCAAUUUCUUUUUUUUAGGAGGAUUGAGUCCGUCCCCGCCACCGCUGCGCUGCGGGGAUUGGGUCCGUCCCUUGUUGCGCCUUGCAGGUGGCAAGGCGACUUAACUGUGCCGCUACCGAUAGCGGCGACUUCUUGCGCCUUGCUGCAAGGCGACUUAAUUGCGCCGCUACCGAUAGCGGCGACUUCUUGCGCCUCACUGCAAGGCGACUUAAUUAAUUGCGCCGCUACCGAUAGCGGCGACUUCUUGCGCCAAGGCUGCAAGGCGACUUAAUUGCGCCGCUACCGAUAGCGGCGACUUCUUGCGCCUUGCUGCAAGGCGACUUAAUUAAUUGCGCCGCUACCGAUAGCGGCGACUUCUUGCGCCUUGCUGCAAGGCGACUUAAUUGCGCCGCUACCGAUAGCGGCGACUUCUUGCGCCUCACUGCAAGGCGACUUAAUUAAUUGCGCCGCUACCGAUAGCGGCGACUUCUUGCGCCUUGCUGCAAGGCGACUUAAUUGCGCCGCUACCGAUAGCGGCGACUUCUUGCGCCUCACUGCAAGGCGACUUAAUUAAUUGCGCCGCUACCGAUAGCGGCGACUUCUUGCGCCAAGGCUGCAAGGCGACUUAAUUGCGCCGCUACCGAUAGCGGCGACUUCUUGCGCCUUGCUGCAAGGCGACUUAAUUAAUUGCGCCGCUACCGAUAGCGGCGACUUCUUGCGCCUUGCUGCAAGGCGACUUAAUUAAUUGCGCCGCUACCGAUAGCGGCGACUUCUUGCGCCUCACUGCAAGGCGACUUAAUUGCGCCGCUAUCGGUAGCGGCGACUUCUUGCGCCUCACUGCAAGGCGACUUAAUUGCGCCGCUACCGAUAGCGGCGACUUCUUGCGCCUUGCAGGUGGCAAGGCGACUUUUGACUGCGCCCGGCGGAGUGAUCGGCGACGCACCUGGAAGAGUUCGCGGGGACCUUUCGCAGGAACCUUUCGC
rnacentral:lncRNA from 1 species